UCGUCCUCUGGGCCCUCCUUUCCCUGGUCCUGCAGGUCUUGCUGCUUGUCAGGCCUCUCCUCCAACCCUCUGCCACAUUUCAGAAAAGCUGAGAACCCCUUGGAGUGAAAAAGGAGGAGAAACACGGUGUCUGUAUCCCAGCAGGAAGUUAAAUAAAUACUUUCACUUCUCUUUUCCCCAUUUGGGCAGAAAUCUGUGAGGGUGAGUCAGUCUGUCGGCCGACUUCCUGCUCCGGGUCUGGGCAGCCACACUGCACGCAGGCUGGGCCGACUGGGGAGCUCAUAGGCCAGGCUCUGACACCCAGGCAGGGCCUAGGGUGGGACGAUGGCAGGUGGGGGCAGCGACCUGAGCACCAGGGGGCUGAACGGAGGUGUUUCACAAGUAGCAAAUGAGAUGAACCAUCUUCCUGCACACAGCCAAAGUCUGCAAAGGCUGUUCACAGAAGACCAGGAUGUAGAUGAGGGACUUGUCUAUGACACUUUAUUCAAGCACUUCAAAAGACAUAAGCUGGAGAUAUCAAAUGCAAUAAAAAAGACAUUUCCAUUCCUUGAGGGCCUCCGCGAUCGUGAACUCAUCACAAAUAAAAUGUUUGAAGAUUCUGAAGAUUCUUGUAGAAACCUGGUCCCUGUACAAAGAGUGGUGUACAAUGUUCUCAGUGAACUGGAGAAGACAUUUAACCUGUCAGUUUUGGAAGCACUGUUCAGCGAGGUCAACAUGCAGGAAUACCCCGAUUUAAUUCACAUUUAUAAAAGCUUCAAAAAUGCAAUCCAAGACAAAUUGUCUUUCCAAGAAAGUGAUCGAAAAGAAAGAGAAGAGAGUCCUGACAUCAAACUAAGUCUUAAACAAGGAGCAGAGCGACCAGCAUGUGAAAAUGAGAAGUGUUCCUAUGUCAUGUGUUUCUCAGGAGAGGUGCCAGAAAGCCCGGAAGCAAGGAAGGAAAGUGACCAAGCAUGUGGCAAAAUGGAUACUGUGGAUAUUGCAAACAACUCCACUUUGGGAAAACCCAAGAGGAAAAGAAGAAAAAAGAAGGGGCAUGGCUGGAGCAGAAUGGGAACGAGAAGGCAGAAAAACAGCCAACAAAAUGAUAACAGCAAAGCCGAUGGCCAGCUGGUCUCGAGUGAAAAGAAGGCGAACAUGAAUCUGAAAGACCUUUCCAAGAUUAGGGGGAGAAAGAGAGGCAAACCUGGAACCCGCUUUACUCAGAGUGACAGAGCUCCACAGAAAAGAGUCCGAUCAAGAGCUUCAAGAAAGCACAAAGAUGAAACUGUGGAUUUUCAGGCUCCUUUACUUCCAGUGACCUGUGGUGGGGUGAAGGGAAUUUUACAUAAGGAGAAAUUGGAACAAGGAACCUUGGCGAAAUGUAUACAGACUGAGGAUGGAAAAUGGUUCACCCCCAUGGAAUUUGAAAUCAAAGGAGGCUACGCAAGAUCAAAGAACUGGAGGCUGAGUGUGCGCUGUGGCGAGUGGCCCCUACGACGGCUGAUGGAGGAAGGAUCUCUACCUAAUCCUCCAAGAAUAUAUUACAGGAACAGAAAGAGAAUACUGAAGUCUCAAAACAAUAGCUCAGUUGACCCUUGUAUGAGAAACUUGGAUGAGUGUGAGGUGUGCCGGGAUGGAGGGGAGCUGUUCUGUUGCGACACUUGUUCAAGAGUCUUCCAUGAGGACUGUCACAUCCCACCUGUGGAAGCUGAGAGAUGGGGAAGGAGCAGGUUCAUCGGGUACUGGGACCCAGCAGUGUGAUCCAGAGAGCAGUGGGAGACGCUGGCAGCAGGAGGACCCCGUGGAAUUGCAUCUUCUGCAGGAUGAAGGAGUCUCCGGGAAGCCAACAGUGUUGUCAGGAAUCUGAGGUCCUGGAGAGGCAGAUGUGUCCUGAGGAACAGUUGAAAUGUGAGUUCCUCCUCUUGAAAGUCUAUUGCUGUUCUGAGAGCUCCUUUUUUGCCAAGAUUCCAUACUAUUAUUAUAUUAGAGAGGCGUGUCAAGGCCUGAAGGAGCCCAUGUGGUUGGAUAAAAUCAAGAAAAGGCUGAAUGAGCACGGUUACCCCCAAGUGGAGGGGUUUGUACAAGACAUGCGCCUCAUCUUCCAGAACCACAGGGCCUCUUACAAGUAUAAGGAUUUUGGCCAAAUGGGACUUAGACUGGAGGCUGAAUUUGAGAAGGAUUUUAAGGAAGUGUUUGCUAUUCAGGAAACAAAUGGGAACAGUUGACUGGUUUAGUGGAUGCUGAAGGCCUUCAGGAAAUAAGCUACUGGUUGCCACUGACUUCAAACUGAGAGCACUUGGGAAAUAGCACAUGCAGGGAGCGGCUUUUCUCUGAGCCUCCCUCAUCUGCCCAAAAACAAAUCCUCAAAAGAAAUUUGAUCAUCAUGAAUCCCAUCCCCAAGAAUCUCAUCAACCAGGGAAGAGGAACUGAGAUCACAGGGAAGGAGAUUGGAGGUAAUACCAGCACAGACAGACUCUCACCUCUUCUCCUGAGGUCUGCUCCAGACAACAUUUAUUACUCACAAGACCUUUUUCCUCCGUUUUUUUUUUUUGAGAUGGAGUCUCACACAGUCGCCCGGGAUUGGAAUGCAAUGGCGCAAUCUCAGCUCACUGCAACCUCUGCCUCCCGGAUUCAAGUGAUUCUCCUGUCUCAGCCUCCCGAGUAGCUGGGAUUACAGUGCCUGCCACCAUGUCCAGCUAAUUUUUUGCAUUUUUAGUGGAGACGGGGUUUCACUAUGUUGGCCAGGUUGGUCUCGAAGUCCUGACCUCAUGAGCCGCCCGCCUUGGCCUCCCAAAGUGCUGGGACAUGACAGGAGUGAGCCACCACGCCUGGCCACUCGCAAGACCUUUUAUCUGAAAACCAGCCAAGCUUUAUUCACGACACACUUCUUCCCUUCACUCUCCCACUUCUGUGGCCAACUCCCUGCAGAACUCCCAAACCGCCGUUCUUUUCGAUAGCUCACGAUGGUGUAUGAGUGUCAAUCAUCUGACCCUUCUCGGAGUCUCAUAUUUCGUGGAACUCCUGUGCAAACAUAUAUUAUUAAAAUUUUUUUCCUCCUGUCAA